CAUCUUACAGUGGAAAAGUGCCAGAUACAGGGGAAACGGGAAACGGUCGCCGAAUGGAUCAGCUGCCUGGUUGACUCGUGGUCAUGGCACCAAAUUUCCACAUCCGUGGAACCACCGAUCUUUGCCCGCUGGAAUGCCAUAUGAAGCCCCUCCCAGUCUCCUCUUCCUCGUCCAUCAUAUUACCAUAAUGCAUCAUCUGUUCAUCAUCCCCGUUCUGCUCCUCCUCGCCGGAGCUGCAGCCGACGUCUACCCGGCUGUCUGCAGCAACGCCACCUGCGGCGGCCACAGCAUCACCUACCCGUUCUGGCUCGCUCACUCAGGGCCCAACUGCGGCUACCCGGGCCUGGGCCUCCUCUGCGUGGACGACGCUCCGAUCCUCGACAUCCAGUUCCACCAGUACAGAGUCCUGCGCAUCGACUACGCCAACCACACCGUCUCCCUCGCCGACGUCGACGCGUGGAACAAGACGUGCCCACGGCUCAGCUACAGCCUCGCCGUCGACCCCAACGCCUGGCUGCAGCUCACGCCGUCCAACUCCGAGCUCGCCUUCCUCUACAACUGCAAGACCGACGACGUUUCCAGGCACACCUCCGCCGUGAGACUCGACGGGUGCGUCCCGGAAGAACAGAACAUGAGCAAUUGGUACGUGUUCCCGGAUAACACGAUCACGACGGGCAGGUACGGGCUGGCCUAUGGAUGCGAGAAGACGGUGGUGACGCCGGUGCUACUGAGCUCGCAUAAUCGGCUGAUGAUCAACCCGGUUCUCGGUGUCGGUGAGGCGCUGAGCGACGGGUUCGAGAUGAGUUACGGCGCCAGAUCCGAGCAGUGCGGCGCCUGCGAGCGGUCCGGCGGGCGGUGCAGGUACGGGCGCAUCGAGCAGCACGGCGGCACGGAGUUCGCUUGCUUCUGCGCCGAUGGCGGGUGCGGGGAUGCCCGCCCUUUAAGCUUGAAGAGAUGGAAAUUGUUUAAGCAAUAUCUCUCAAUCUGGAGUUCCUUCUUAUUUGCGUUCAUAUAAUCUAUUGUAUAAUUGAAACAAUAGGACAACAAGCCACCACAAUCAUCCACAUAGAGAUUAGUCUGUUUUUGGCAUGCUUUUUUAGUUCUAAGUACAUGCAGUUGUACUUUUUUUUUUGCUCGUUGUAUUUUUUUUAUAUCUUCAACUCAAGUGAAAUCUUAAAUGUUGAACAUCAAGAGAAUACAUGUGUUUUUUAUUACAAUUGUUUUCCUUUAGUGUAUAUGUUUAUUGGCCAGGUGCGCG